GAUCGAAAGUCCGUAAACCCACGAUGUUUUGUAAGGCAACGAUGUUUUUGGAAAAUUUCGAUGAACUGUAUGCAGCGCAUUAGAGUGAAAGAGAAAGCAUGCUUUGUGUUUUCAUCGAAGUUUCGCUAAGCAUGCUAUCUCGCUCCUUCAUGUUUGCGAAUUUUUCGGCAGUUCUGUCAAACGAAAAAAAAACGUGGCGUGUACGUUUUUUUCCUUCGCAAAAGUUUGGCGUGUAGGUUUAUUGGCAGGCAUUUGCGAACCUCCGGUGAUUCCGUUUUCUGGCGGACAGGUUUGAAGGACGAUUUUGGCACUACAAGAGUGUUCUCAGAGCGACGGACAGCAACCAAGCGGGUCCGGGCCCCAACAGCAGCAUGCUCCGUUACGACGCAGUUCCGUACGCAGAUGCCACCGUAUUGUGGCGGCGGAGGCGCAGGUGGAAGUUCCGGAUCGCCACCGCCUACAUUGGACGGUCCACCUUUGUCGGGACCGAUGAACGACGACCGGGGGACAAUCGUGGAAUGCGAAACAACAGUGUUGGCGGAGGCGGAUUAAACAGGUUGCAAUCAGAUUUCAUCUCGGGCGGCCACAGUACGAAUCGUCAGCAAUCACAUGGACCAAACUAUUUUCCGAUGCAUUCGUGUGGCAAAUAUCGUGACGAGGCUGUCGCGAACAAAUGUAACCUCCAAGGUUGGCCACCCGGCAGCAACGAGACCAGCACCAGGAUCACGACUAACACCGGCGGGACUUUUCGUCGGCGGCGGCUUCGUUCAUAGAGCCGGAGAUUGUCGUUCAGCGGCCCACCAUCGACCGUCAGUCAAUGGCCACGCCUGCGUCGGAGGUCGUGGACCAAGGAACGUCUCGAGUUGCGUCGUGAGGAGGACCAGCGAAGGGAGAUGGAACGUAAACAGGCCGCGGCCAGGAAACUGCAGGAGUUGGAGCAGCAGCUGAAGAGUAAGAAGGGUGAAUACGGAGCAGCAGGGUGGCGGCAAGAGUGGUACGGUCCGCGGUUCAUCCACACCCAGCAAUGGGCAAGGGUCAAGCAACGUCGGGGAAUGGAUCAUGGCGAACGGGACGAUCGUGACCGCAGUGACAUGGUCCCACGCGAUUUUAUGAUGAAGCGUCGCAUUACCUCCAGUUGCUGGUCUGAUCCGUGGGGAAAUCGGUCGGAUGAUGACGACGAAGAGGAUGAACAUAAGCAACCGGUAGCAGCGGAUCCGGUGCUGCUGGAGCACAGGUCAAAUAAUUCGAACGUCACCAUUAGGAAGCAGGGAAACGGAAGACAGUUUUGGAGUUCCGCCACCACCGUUGAGCCACGCGGAGUGACGUGAAUUUGCCGAACGCCGCGGCCUCUUGGCUUGCCGGAUACGCAGGCCGUGAACCGGCGCAUGACCGGGAGCACCGCAAAGUUGAACGAAUCCGCUACUUCGUCCCUGAAACAAGCUUUGGGUUCGUAGCUGGAACUCCUUGGAGGUGGCUCACCGGCAGCCGGUUGCAGCGAACUCAGUACUGCACGAGCAAAGAACAAACACGAAAUUUGCACCCAGCGACAUGUACGGGCCCUUAUUGCGGCCAAUCCGCUGAACAAAACGGAGCAGAAACUGUUGGUGCGGCAAGUUCAACGCUACAAGCAAACAGGAAUAAAACGACCGUCUCCGGCUUACUACGUACACCGAUCCGGAGACGCAGAAGGUGACCGCAAAAAAAAGGCAACGCUCUGAACCGGUGGUUUCGGCGAGAUCCGCCAAACGUUGUAGUGUUGUGACGUGUAGCUGCAGAAUAUGAUUCCGUCACGGCGGCCAGUGGGCGUAGGGAUGCUGGAAGCCGACUAAACUCACCAUUGAGAUGACCCCAAGCAAGGCGGCGUAGGCCAAAACGUACCAGCCACGCAAGUCUGCGUCCUAAAACGCACAAUCCUGCAAAAGAGCGUAACCUGUCGCCAAACUGACCUUUCGUCCGCGCCGGUGGAAAUUGUAUACCCGCGAAACCGUCGACCGAUUAGAACUUCAACAACCUUCCGGCUUCCGGUUGACUAGUGGCCGUGACCGGUCCAGCGGGCAGACAAGCCACCAGCCUUGACCAGCGAUUUGUUCCGUUGUGGCCCGGUUCAACCUGGAAUUGGUUCUGGGACUGGCAUAUUUAACCAGAUCAAGAAGACACGCGGGACACGAUAUUUGACUUCCGGGACUCAACUAAUUCGUUCCAGAACCAAGCUUUGGCCUCGUAGUGGACCACUUGGGAAGUGACCCAGAGGCAGUCAGUGGAAGCGGAAUCGGUGCUGCAGGAACACAGGUCAAAUAAUUCGGGCGUCAUCUCCACAAAGUAGGAAAUUCGGUAGUCAGGAUUUGCACCCGGCGACCUGUUCCAUUGUGCUCUGUCGAUCGACUAGAACACAUCCAGCGGGCCAGGACGCCGAAGAAUGCGUCCGCCAAAAAGAUUCUUCAAGCUGAGAUCGCGCUGGAACCGUCAGUCUCGUGUCGCCUCGUUAUCAGGAAAAUGUUUUGGCUCGCAGGAUACUCCCGUUACGCUCACCCUGCCCUUGAUCCGCCGUAAAAAUAUCCCGGAAGUAAACAGCGCAAUCGUUCUGUUUGAACUCGACGGUUCCGAGAGGUUCACCGACGGACUAGAACAGUUCAGGAAGGGAAGAACACUCGAACAUUUCCGUUGCACCCACAUUCCCACAAAAGCAGCGGAACUGGUCGCACCCCCACCCCGGGCACCCCGCCAAUCAAAACACCACCAUAUCGUAUAUCGAGUCCGAGUCCCGGAAUCCGGCCUCAUUCAACACUCGGUCGAAUCGUGCAGGCAACCGCCUGGGACGCGUUGAUGUAAAUCAGGGACGGCAUGCUCCCGAUUCGCGACUCCGCAACGACAUUCACUGAUAAGAACAAUCAGCGAAGCGCCGCGCGAACUGACUUCCCAAUUCACCGGUCAAGCCCGGUCAUGAGGAUCAGCAGAACGAACUUCCAAACGAAUCUACCGCCGAGGUUCAAGAAGCGAAAUCCUUCCGGAAAUAGUCUGUAGGGAAGUCAACCGCAGGAUAGUCAUUACGGUAGUCGGGAUCAGACCAACAGUGGCAGCACUACCAGCAACCAUGGUUCACCGGCCCAGUAGCAAAAGCAGGUGAUGGCAAGGGCGUUCCCUUUGCGCAGCAGUACGAUUCGCGGUCCAUCCACACCCAGGAAAACAACGGCAAGCGAUCAUAGCGAUCGAGACCGCGGUGACAUGGUCCCACCGAAGACCAUGAAGCGUCGCAACGACUAGGAGGAGAACGAUCGUUUUAACAGCCAUCGUGCAAGAUGAUGAAGAUGAAGUGGUGGCCGUACAACGCCGCAAUUGAAAAGAGGCGAACAAACGAACGAACCUUCCCCCUGCUGCUCUCCGGAAAUGCCACUCGGGACGACCAUGACCUGUUCAAAAACCUUUCUUUUGGGUGUGGAAAUGAUCCCAGCCGGCUUCACCACAAGGUACUCUAGGGCCACGACCGAACAUCGAGGGGUCCGUAGCGCUUCCCACCGGAAUUAGCCUCGCGAGCCGCAACAUGCAAGUCACGUUUCGUCCGGAUUGUCACCCUCGAAAAGAGGCAGCUCGGAACACGCUGGCUGGACGGCCUUCGCCCUACAAGUGCCCUCAUGACGACGGAUUAAAUGAUGAAUCGGUUCGCGUUCCCGGCCAAUCCGUUUUUAUUACAGAGGUUCUUGCAAUCCGGAAACGCCACGCGCAACGGCCAUGGUCCUGCAAGUACUCUAAAAAAAAGCAGCACGGAACAGGCUCGCGGAAAGGUCGCCAUGGCUCUGGAUCAGGUUCGCCGGAUGCCGGCCAAUCUGUAAGAGCUCUCAGAACAACACUGCAUGGUCGUCAAACUGCAAGUCCCUUCGGAACGUCGUUUGACGCAACAGGCUCGAUGGACGAACUUGGCCCUCAAGUUCCCUCUGAAUUACGCUGGACGGAACGACGGAUUAAAAGCUGCACGGCCGAAUCUUGUCCACGUUUCUGGCCUAUUACUUUUCAAAUUUCGGUUCGUACAAUCCGGAAUUGCCACGCGAAACGGCAAUGGACCUCGAGGUUCCAUCGGAGAGAGGCAGCACCGAAUUUGCUUGCUGGGUGGUCGCCAACCUACAAGUGCCCUCGGAACGAAGCUGCACGGACAGGCUCGGCGGACGGUGCCCUCGGAAUCAAGGUUGAAAUGCUGCACGAACGUUUCCAGGUCUAAAACAAACGGAUCCGGUCCUCACGUGCCAGCAGCUUUCUCUUGAAUUCUUGUUUAUUUUAUCUUAUUACUGAAUUACUAUGAAAAUAAACAAAUAAAAACGCAAAAAUGACAGUUUUAAUAUCAACAAAUCCAAUGACAGUUGUCAAAAAAAGAAGAAGAAGAACACAAAAAAGAGGUUGAUGCACGUCCGAUUUUUCACCAUUACGUCGUUCUUACAUCGCCCCCGCACGUAGGCCUCUUGCGAUGUUCGAACAACCUUGACAGGUUGACGUUUCGGGUGCAAAAUACCUUGAUUCGGGUCUGAUGCGUGUCUCAAAAUCAGACCCGCAUCGGCCCCUGUAGGACUGAUCGUCGCUCUGACGAUCAGACCCGAUCGGCCCCGUAUUUCU